rnacentral:rRNA from 1 species
CCAAUAGCGUAUAUUAAAGUUGCUGCAGUUAAAAAGCUCGUAGUUGAAUUUCGGGACCAUCAUGUCGGUCGUGCCCCGGUACGUACUGGCAUUGUUGGUUUCUCCCUUCUGACGAACCAUGAUGUCAUUUAUUUGAUGUUGUGGGGAAUCAGGACUGUUACUUUGAAAAAAUUAGAGUGUUUAAAGCAGGCUCACGCUUGAAUACAUUAGCAUGGAAUAAUGGAAUAGGACGUUUGAUUCUAUUUUGUUGGUUUCUAGGAUCGACGUAAUGAUUAAUAGGGAUAGUUGGGGGCAUUAGUAUUCAAUUGUCAGAGGUGAAAUUCUUGGAUUUAUUGAAGACUAACUACUGCGAAAGCAUUUGCCAAGGAUGUUUUCAUUAAUCAAGAACGAAAGUUAGGGGAUCGAAGACGAUCAGAUACCGUCGUAGUCUUAACCAUAAACUAUGCCGACUAGGGAUCGGAUGAUGUUAAUUUUUUAAUGACUCAUUCGGCGCCUUACG